rnacentral:rRNA from 1 species
UACGUAGGGUGCAAGCGUUGUCCGGAAUUAUUGGGCGUAAAGAGCUCGUAGGCGGUCUGUUGCGUCGGCUGUGAAAACCCGGAGGCUCAACCUCGGGCCUGCAGUGGGUACGGGCAGACUAGAGUGCGGGUAGGGGAGAUUGGAAUCAUGGUGUAGCAGUGAAAUGCGUAGAGAUCAUGAGGAAGACCAGUGGCGAAGGCGGGUCCUCUGGACAGUUCCUGACACUGAGGCACGAAGGCCAGGGAGCAAACGGG